UACGUAGGGUGCGAGCGUUGUCCGGAAUUAUUGGGCGUAAAGAGCUUGUAGGCGGUUUGUCGCGUCUGCCGUGAAAAUCCGGGGCUCAACCCCGGACUUGCGGUGGGUACGGGCAGACUAGAGGUAGGUAGGGGAGAAUGGAAUUCCCGGUGUAGUGGUGAAAUGCGUAGAUAUCGGGAGGAACACCAGUGGCGAAGGCGACUUCCUGGCCUGUUCUUGACGCUGAGGCGCGAAAGCUAGGGUAGCAAACGGG
rnacentral:rRNA from 1 species